rnacentral:rRNA from 1 species
UACAGAGGGCAAGCGUUGUUUCGGAAUUUACUGGGCGUAAAGGGCGCGUAGGCGGCCUUCUAAGUCGAACGUGAAAUCCCCGGGCUCAACCCGGGAACUGCGUCCGAUACUGGAAGGCUUGAAUCCGGGAGAGGGAUGCGGAAUUCCAGGUGUAGCGGUGAAAUGCGUAGAUAUCUGGAGGAACACCGGUGGCGAAGGCGGCAUCCUGGACCGGCAUUGACGCU